CACAUUGCCACGUCUCUGGGAAAUAUGUAUAGAAUGACACACGCUUAACAUAUAGUGGAUUUCUUUGGAACACAAGGUUCUGCAAGUGUGGAUGUUGAAAAUCAUCUUUGCAAAUGUUUUGAAAAUAAAAAGCUUUAAUUAAAAAAAUGAAAGAGGAAAUAAAAGGACACUUUGCACACCUGAAGGGGACUCUGUUAAUGUUAUUACCGUCAUUAGGACUUGGAGGAGGAGACGACAUCCUUAGCAAUGGAAGCUGUGCUAUUACUCUAAGAGCAAUGAGAACACACCCAGUGCCAGAGGAAGUACACAAGGUCAGGAAAGGAGAGAGGGACCUACCUGAGAAAAGGCCCUCCCCCCAACGCCCCCCAAAGCCUGGCUCCGAGCCCUUUUAGGGCUGUGGGGAGGGGAAGAAGUAUUUCACAACUUGGUCCCUUUGCUGCUUGAGAAUAGGCCGAUGGCCAUCUCUCUGGGAGGCAGGAAUGUAAAUUUAGCUUUAUUUGCAGGCGCAGAGAAGUAAAGUAAUUUCUGAGGCGUGAGAGGCGGGGCUUCCCGGGAACACUCCCUGGGAGGGAGGAACAGAAAAGGCUCCACCAGCCCCGGAACUGCGCCCGCUGGGCAGCACCUGAUAACCCGGGGCCUCUGGGACACACCUGUCCCAGCUUCACGUGCCUCUCUCAUCCCCUGGGCUAGGCUGGGCUGGUGGUUACUAGGAAAAAGAACAACAGCUAAUAGCUAGAUAGAGCUGGAAGGUUGGGGAAUAGCGCACUUUCCAUAUACACUUUCUCAUUCAGGGAGCCUCCUGUUAACCCUCCGAGAUUAGGAACUAGCUCCAAGAGGUUCGAGGCAGAAGAUCAGUCAGCAAGGGCCUCAUGCACAAGGCAUCUCGUCCAACCUGUCUGGGAACAGGACUCCUCUGUACAACGCAGCCUGAGCACCUACAACUUGCUAGUUCCAGCUGGGGGUCGCUCCCGAUCUGGGGACAGGGAAUCCACCAUCUCCCAGACAGCCCCCAAUCCACUCUGGAUUUCCACUCCUUUGGUUUCUUAGAAGAAUCUCCUAAAGGCAAAUUCCUUAAGCCAAAAGGUGGGAGAGCGGUCAGAUUUCACGAGGACAUGGCUAGAUAACCUAUGUCUUCUGGCAAUUGGAGGAGAAGGCCACAGACAGUUUUGUCUCUACGGUGUUUGAAGGUCUGAAAAGAGCUUUAUAGAAUGAUUAUCUUAACUGAUUCUCACCACAACUUUUGUAGGCAGGUCCCACUGCUGUCCUCAUUUUAGAGAUGAGGAAAUUGAGGCUGAAAGUGCUAAUAGGAUUUGCCCAGGGUGCCAUAGUUAGGAAGUGUCCUGACUCUAGGGAUAGUGAUCUCUUCAAUGGAUUAUUUAUUGAGCUUUCUAUCCCUGGAGGGGACUCUUAUUCACCUCUGAGUGGGACUCGAUGUUCCUUUCCAGCUGAGAUUUUUUGGGUAGCCAGGACUCACACUCACUGGCUGGGUGAGACCGUUAGCAAAAUGCUUCCCCAAACUGGACACCAUUUCCCCACCUGCUGAAAGGGUAACGACCCCUGGUCUUCUCCCCAAGCUGCUGCUAAGAGGGGCUGGGUAAGGAAGCCCCCGUUUGACGGACUCCUGGGCUGUUAUUUUUUUGGCUGUUGAUGUUGGUUGGAAGUGAAUCUUCCCAUCAGGUCUGGGGCAUUGGGGCAGGCAGGAAGGCAGGGCAGUAGGCAAGAUCAGAGUGUUCUGAGAAAGAACGUUUAUUGCUCUGCUGAUAAGCAUCUCUUGGCAGUUAAGAGUCACCGUUGCCAUAGCUGGACAUGACUCUUAAGGGAGCCGGCAGUCAGCAUAGGACUGGCCUUAUGUUUAAAGGAGAGAGAGGGAACCAAGGGGGCAGAAAAAUGUGGCCUACAACAGGCCAACCAGCCCCACAGCCCUGUCGGAUGGGCGAGGACCUGCUGGCCGGCCGUUGGUCAGCCAGCACACAAAGAUAGAGCAGCACUGGCCUGGGUCCAUGUGGAAAACACUUGGGGACGGUCAGCCACACCGUGGUCAUGGCGGGCCCCAGUGUCCCAGACUGGAGCUCCCCAUCCUUCGUGAGACCUUGCUCUGGCAGCACCACCUGUUGAUAUCCCUUAAGGGCCAGUUGCAUGAAGCCAUCCCCACCCCGUGACCGGAAGGUCAUCUCCCCCUGCUCAGCUUUUGGGGCACUUGAUAACUCCAUUUCUGCCAAAAUUACUUGCUAGUCAAAUAUGCAAAGGAUCAGUAAUUUCAUGAGCAUGGGGAGCUCCUUGUCUGGGAGUUCCUCCCACAAAAACAAGUGGCAAGGGCUGUUUUGUAACUUAUCAGCAGUAAUGACUGCGGGAGUCUUUCCCCGGCCCCCACUGCUCAUCCCCACCUGGCGCUGGAUUUGGAUGGCCCUACCUGGCAAGAGGCGGAUUCACCAGAGCCCUGCUCCCUUCUGGCCAGUCAGCCAGCCACCCCUUUGUAAGCAUCACUGAUCGGGGCCCCGGCUGUGGGCGCCCUUGGGUGAGCAGAGAUUACUCCUACUAAACAGGGAAGACCACCAAGUCUUAUCAUCUACCCUGGUACUGCCCCUAAAUUCCAUGGGAUCUUACCAUCCCCCUCUGAACCCCCAGGCUGUGUCUCCCACCCAAGGCCUCCUGCACCACAAGUGUCCGGUCUCCCCCAAUUAGAAUGCAGAUUCCCGGAAGGUGAGCCCAGCAGGGUUUCUAUCUGCACCUUGAUCACCUGGCACGUGCUAAAGUGGUUAGUACUUUUCUAUCCACUGUCUGUCCGGGUCUAAGGAGAGAGGGGCCCUGUGGGCUGAGGCACACAGACAGGGGCAAGUGCUCCUGAAGCUAGAUCCGGCCUCUCUCCAACAUAUCAGAUCACCCGGGGGAUCGUAGCUGCAGUACAUUAGUCUAUGUCUCCCCUAGGAGAAGGGAAGUCCCAGGAGGGCAGGGACCACGUCUCAGUUAGGUGCUAAUGAAUGUCUGCUGAAAGCAAAGAGAUAGCUUUAUCCCAGAGACUAGCACAUGCUGUACUGGCAAGGACAAGGGAUGAGUCACUUGCUGUUUGCCUCAGUUUCCUCAUCUGUCAAAUGAACUGGAGAAGGAAAUGGCAAACCACACCAAUAUUUUGGCCAAGAAAACUCCCAAUGGGACAGUUGGGUGGCGCAGUGGAUAGAGCACCAGCCCUGAAGUCCGGAGGACCUGAGUUCAAAUCCUGCCUCAGACACUUGAUACUUCCUGGCUGUGUGACCCUGGGCAAGUCACUUAAGCCCAACUGCCUCAGCAAAAGCAAAAACAGAAAAAAAGAAAACUCCCAAAGGGGUCAGGAACAACAACAAAAUGGAAGCUAACAUCACCUGUAAUACUUAACUGAGAACUGUUACGAAUAUAUUGUAUUCAAAAAAUACUUUGUAAAUCUGUAUAAAUGUCAGCUGUUACCAUCAAUAAAUUAAAGACUAAAAAGAAAAAUCAAAAA